rnacentral:rRNA from 1 species
UGGAGCGACGCCGCUGGGGGAUGAAUGGCUUCGGCCGUAAACCCCUGUCAUUCGCGAUCAAACCCCAAUAUUUAAAAGAUGUUGGGGCUGAUAGUAGCGGAAGAGGAAGGGACGGCUAACUCUGUGCCAGCAGCCGCGGUAAUACAGAGGUCCCGAGCGUUGUUCGGAUUCACUGGGCGUAAAGGGUGCGUAGGUGGUGACGGUAAGUCGGAUGUGAAAGCUCGGAGCUCAACUCCGAAAUGGCAUUGGAAACUACCUUGCUGGAGGGUUGGAGGGGGGACUGGAAUACUUGGUGUAGCAGUGAAAUGCGUAGAUAUCAAGUGGAACACCAGUGGCGAAGGCGAGUCCCUGGACAACACCUGACACUGAGGCACGAAAGCUAGGGGAGCAAACAGGAUUAGAUACCCUGGUAGUCCUAGCCGUAAACGAUGCGUGUUUGCUGUAAAAGGAAUCGACCCCUUUUGUGGCGGAGCCAACGCGUUAAACACGUCGCCUGGGAAGUACGGUCGCAAGAUUA